rnacentral:rRNA from 1 species
AGUGAACGCUGGCGGUAGGCCUAACACAUACAAGUCGAACGGCAGCACAGGAGAGCUUGCCCUCUGGGUGGCGAGUGGCGGACGGGUGAGGAAUACAUCGGAAUCUACUCUGUCGUGGGGGAUAACGUAGGGAAACUUACGCUAAUACCGCAUACGACCUACGGGUGAAAGCAGGGGACCUUCGGGCCUUGCGCGAUUGAAUGAGCCGAUGUCGGAUUAGCUAGUUGGCGGGGUAGAGGCCCACCAAGGCGACGAUCCGUAGCUGGUCUGAGAGAAUGAUCAGCCACACUGGAACUGAGACACGGUCCAGACUCCUACGGGAGGCAGCAGUGGGGAAUAUUGGACAAUGGGCGCAAGCCUGAUCCAGCCAUACCGCGUGGGUGAAGAAGGCCUUCGGGUUGUAAAGCCCUUUUGUUGGGAAAGAAAUCCAGCUGGCUAAUACCCGGUUGGGAUGACGGUACCCAAAGAAUAAGCACCGGCUAACUUCGUGCCAGCAGCCGCCGUAA